AUUGAACGCUGGCGGCAGGCCUAACACAUGCAAGUCGAACGGUAACAGGAAACAGCUUGCUGUUUCGCUGACGAGUGGCGGACGGGUGAGUAAUGUCUGGGAAACUGCCUGAUGGAGGGGGAUAGCUACUGGAAACGGUAGCUAAUACCGCAUAACGUCGCAAGACCAAAGAGGGGGACCUUCGGGCCUCUUGCCAUCGGAUGUGCCCAGAUGGGAUUAGCUAGUAGGUGGGGUAACGGCUCACCUAGGCGACGAUCCCUAGCUGGUCUGAGAGGAUGACCAGCCACACUGGAACUGAGACACGGUCCAGACUCCUACGGGAGGCAGCAGUGGGGAAUAUUGCACAAUGGGCGCAAGCCUGAUGCAGCCAUGCCGCGUGUAUGAAGAAGGCCUUCGGGUUGUAAAGUACUUUCAGCGGGGAGGAAGGGAGUAAAGUUAAUACCUUUACUCAUUGACGUUACCCGCAGAAGAAGCACCGGCUAACUCCGUG
rnacentral:rRNA from 1 species